CUUUACUCUAGCUUUGCACUGGCAUCAGGAUUGUGAUGUGCAGGAUAGGUGGUAGGCUUUGAAGCGGGAACGCUAGUUCUCGUGGAGCCUCCCUUGAGAUACCACCCUUCGCACUCUUGAUGUCUAACCGCGGCCCGUUAUCCGGGUCCGGGACCCUGCAUGGUGGGGAGUUUGACUGGGGCGGUCGCCUCCCAAAGUGUAACGGAGGCGCGCGAUGGUUGGCUCAGACCGGUCGGAAAUCGGUCGUUGAGUGCAAUGGCAGAAGCCAGCCUGACUGCAAGUCUGACAAGACGAGCAGAGACGAAAGUCGGUCAUAGUGAUCCGGUGGUCCCAAGUGGGUGGGCCAUCGCUCAACGGAUAAAAGGUA
rnacentral:rRNA from 1 species